GAUGAACGCUGGCGGCGUGCCUAAUACAUGCAAGUCGAACGGAGAUCCGCAAGGGUCUUAGUGGCGAACGGGUGAGUAACGCGUUGGUAACCUGCCCUGGAGCGUGGGAUAACAGGCCGAAAGGCUUGCUAAUACCGCAUGCGCAGUAGAGGAAUAGCAGCUUUACUGUAAAGGGAGCCGUUCGCAAGAACGCUCUCGCUCUGGGAGGGGCCUGCGACCCAUCAGCUAGUUGGUAAGGUAACGGCUUACCAAGGCGAUGACGGGUAGGGGACCUGAGAGGGUGGCCCCCCACAAUGGAACUGAAACACGGUCCAUACACCUACGGGUGGCAG
rnacentral:rRNA from 1 species